rnacentral:rRNA from 1 species
UACAGAGGUCUCAAGCGUUGUUCGGAUUCAUUGGGCGUAAAGGGUGCGUAGGCGGCGCGGUAAGUCGGGUGUGAUAUCUCGGAGCUUAACUCCGAAACUGCAUUCGAUACUGCCGUGCUUGAGGACUGGAGAGGAGACUGGAAUUUACGGUGUAGCGGUGAAAUGCGUAGAUAUCGUAAGGAAGACCAGUGGCGAAGGCGGGUCUCUGGACAGUUCCUGACGCUGAGGCGCGAAAGCCAGGGGAGCAAACGGG